UCCUACGGGGCGCAGCAGUGAGGAAUAUUGGUCAAUGGGCGGGAGCCUGAACCAGCCAAGUCGCGUGAGGGAAGACGGUCCCAUGGAUUGUAAACCUCUUUAGGCGGGGAGCAAUGCCGGGCACGCGUGUCCGGAGGGAGAGUACCCGCAGAAUAAGCAUCGGCUAACUCCGUGCCAGCAGCCGCGGUAAUACGGAGGAUGCGAGCGUUAUCCGGAUUUAUUGGGUUUAAAGGGUGCGUAGGCGGAUUUUUAAGUCAGCGGUAAAAUGUCCGGGCUCAACCCGGUCCGGCCGUUGAAACUGGGGG
rnacentral:rRNA from 1 species